rnacentral:rRNA from 1 species
AGGAGUCUAACAUAUCUGCGAGUGUUUGGGUGGAAAACCCGAGCGCACAAUGAAAGUGAAAGUUGAGAUCCCUGUCGUGGGGAGCAUCGACGCCCGGACCUGAGCUUUUAGCAAUGGAUCUGCGGUAGAGCAUGUAUGUUGGGACCCGAAAGAUGGUGAACUAUGCCUGAAUAGGGCGAAGCCAGAGGAAACUCUGGUGGAGGCUCGUAGCGAUUCUGACGUGCAAAUCGAUCGUCGAAUUUGGG